rnacentral:rRNA from 1 species
AUUGAACGCUGGCGGCAGGCCUAACACAUGCAAGUCGAACGGUAACAGAAAGCAGCUUGCUGCUUUGCUGACGAGUGGCGGACGGGUGAGUAAUGUCUGUGAAACUCCCUGAUGGAGGGGGAUAACUACUGGAAACGGUAGCUAAUACCGCAUAACGUCGCAAGACCAAAGAGGGGGACCUUCGGGCCCCUUGCCAUCGGAUGUGCCCAGAUGGGAUUAGCUAGUAGGGGGGGUAACGGCUCACCUAGGCGACGAUCCCUAGCUGGUCUGAGAGGAUGACCCGCCACACUGGAACUGAGACACGGUCCAGACUCCUACGGGAGGCAGCAGUGGGGAAUAUUGGACAAUGGGCGCAAGCCUGAUGCAGCCAUGCCGCGUGUAUGAAGAAGGCCUUCGGGUUGUAAAGUACUUUCAGCGGGGAGGAAGAGAGUAAAGUUAAUACCUUUGCGCAUUGACGUUACCCGCAGAAGAAGCACCGGCUAACUCCGUG